UACAGAGGGUGCAAGCGUUAAUCGGAGUUACUGGGCGUAAAGGGCGCGUAGGCGGUUAUUUAAGUUUGAUGUGAAAUCCCUGGGCUUAACCUAGGAACUGCAUUGGAUACUGGAUAACUGGAGUACUGUAGAGGGUAGUGGAAUUUCCGGUGUAGCGGUGAAAUGCGUAGAGAUCGGAAGGAACACCAGUGGCGAAGGCGGCUCACUGGUCCGGUACUGACGCUGAGGUGCGAAAGCGUGGGGAGCAAACAGG
rnacentral:rRNA from 1 species